CAAAUGUAGCAUCAAAGGCCCAAAUUAAUCACCAGAGAAAGGCAAAUAUCACGUUCCAUCUGAGCGAUGUCAUUAAAUAUUGAGAGAUCGUUUCAACUAUGCCAAGCUUGAAGCUCAAAAAUUUUGUUGCGUUAGUUGCGAUGCAUAUUUUGGCAGACAACAUCAUUUUUUCAGCUCGAGACACAGAACGAAAACUGUUUGCACCAAGAGUAAAAUCAACUUCUUUAAUUAUCAAUGGAAUCAAAGCUAAUCAGAGACCUUUUUAUGCAAGGAUUGUUGCAUACAAGAGCAGAACAUUCUGUGGCGCGACUGCAAUUGACUCCCGCUGGGUUAUAACAUCCGCACAUUGCAUUGCUAACGUCAGCUCGUUUUGGCUAUCCGUGGAAAUUGGAGACUUUGCAAAUCCGAUGCUGAACAAAGUCAAAUUUAGCGUGGAAAAAGUCAAGGUUAUCGAUGGUUUCGAAUUCAAGAACAACAGACUUUACAAUAAUAUCGCACUUGUCAAAAUGAAUCGGCGUCUCGGGUUUCGUCGAGUUCUGCCGAUCUGCCAAGAGUCUCCCGAUUUAGGAACCCGAUUUUUUCUUACCCAUAACCCUAGC